CAGUGUUCAGCCAAGGAGCCACUGAUUUGCAGGAGAACUGCUCGGGACCACGUUACAAAACAUUCUGGCAUGUGCUAGUUGCUGUACAAACAGAACAAAGUGGAGAAUUGUCCCUGGGAGCUGCAGUCCAAGACAGGUGCAGGCAGCAUUUUGCAAACAAAUUUUGUUCGCCUUGAAGAUCUCUAAACAUAAGAACGAAUUAUUGCAGAGCAAAAAUCAGCUGUUGAACAGAACAUAGACUGCUACAUUGCAAAAUAAAU